GUGCUUACUUCAACAGCAUGUAUACUAAAACUGGAAUGAUAUAGAAAAGAUUAGCAUGACCACUGUGAAAGGAUGACGUGCAAAUUCAUGUAUCAUGCCAUAAUUUU